CUUACCUUCCAGCAUGACUGUGAGGCCUCCCUAGCCAUGUGGAACUCACUGUGCCUCCAGGAGAGAGGGUUUUUUUCUGGUCGCCCCUGCAGACAUGACCCUGCUUGUCCCUGGCCAAUCCCAGGGCCAGACUGGAUUGUUGGCCCUCUGACUCACCCUAGAAGGCCUGGGGCUGGAGAGGCCUGGAACUCCUCGGAGAAGCCAAAGAUUUUGCAGAAUCAAGGAUGGAUGGAGUAUCAAAAUAAGGAACGGAAAAAACUGAAGAUAUACUAAGGAUUAAGGCCCAGGUUCAUCUAGUGUCCCCAGGUGCCAGGCAUUGUGCUGUGACUGUGAUGUGAAAAAAGAGGCCAGGACAACUGGGUCUCAUUCAGUCAGACUGGAGUGCAGUGGUGUGAUCACAGCUCAUGCAGCCUUGACCUUCCAGACUCAAACAAUCCUUUCAUGUAGCUGGGACCACAGGUGCAUGCCACCAUGAUCAGUUUAUUUUUAAAUUUUUUGUAGUGAGCCAUUGAGCCCAGCAUAAUCCUUCUAAUUUAGUUCCUUAUCUGAAAAGCGAGGACAUUGUGACAAUGAUCUCAGAACACUGUUGUGAAAAUUAAAUUCUCAAUAUAAUGUCUGGUGCCCAAAAAGCAUUAAAUUGAAGUUGGCUUAAACUAUAAUCACAUAAACACCAUGUGGUCUUUUUUUUUUUUUUGAGACACAGUCUAGCCCUAUCGCCCAGGCUCAAGUGCGGUGGCGUGACCUCGGCUCACUGUAACCUCCUCCUCCCAGGUUCAAGCGAUUCUUAUGCCUCAGCCUCCUGAGCAGCUGGGAUUAUAGGCGUGCGUCACCACAUCCAGCUAAUUUUUGUAUUUUUUGUAGAGACAGGAUUCACCAUGUUGCCCGGGCUGGUCUCAAACUUCUUCUGACCUCAGGUGAUCUGCGUGCCGCGGCCUCCCAAAGUGCUGGGAUUACAGGCAUGAGCCACCGCGCCCGGCCCACCAUGUGGUCUUAAUAGCAAGCAUGGAGUACCAAACAAAAA
rnacentral:lncRNA from 1 species